rnacentral:rRNA from 1 species
CACGGGGGGAGCAAGCGUUGUUCGGAAUCACUGGGCGUAAAGGGCGUGUAGGCGGUCAAGUAAGUGAGACGUGAAAUGCCCCGGCUUACCCGGGGACCUGCGUCUCAUACUGCUUGGCUUGAGUACGGGAGAGGGUGUGGGAAUUCCUGGUGUAGCGGUGAAAUGCGUAGAUAUCAGGAGGAACACCGGUGGCGAAGGCGCACACCUGGCCCGAUACUGACGCUGAGGCGCGAAAGCUAGGGGAGCAAACGGG